ensembl:lncRNA
GGCUAUUUGUCUUACUGAAACCCUCUUUUCCUACAACAUAUUCCCGUGCAUUCCCAACGCAUUUCUCCACCCUGGCAACACUCAGGAUUGGUCUCUCAGAAGCUGCACUCCCAAUGGGGAUAUUUGUUUAAGGGACUGCCCAGAGAGAUGUGCUUGAAGUGCCCUGGUCAGCACUGAGGUUCCCUCAAGGCCAAGAAUAGACAAGGCGGCCUCGCGAAGUCCUUCCUGGGCUUGGGCUUCUGGUUUGUGGAGGAAUAGGUGGAUGCAGCUGGUUGGAACACACAGUGCGCCUGUGUAGCAGAAGUGCUAAGUCAUGGCUUGAAGCAGUGAUGGAGCACCUGGCUGGUGGGAAGGUAGGGCCAACCCAGGGGAACUCAGGUGUAUGCAAUGAGUCUGAGUGACAGGAAGGGCUGGGGCCAGGAUCCACCCCUUCCCAGACCUCAUUUAAGGGUUCCCAGUGGAGGUGAGGGAUUCUUGAUGGGGACUCCUAUCUACCUGAGGCCUUCUAAAGUCUUUAAACAGUACUACAAGAUAGUGAAAAUACCCUGCAGAACCCCUCCAUGGAUAGCAGCCUCACAGUACAACUGCAGCAUCCACAAGUGGGAGGACGUGGAGGGCCCAAGUCAGAGAUCAAGUCAUACUAACACAUAUUUCUUCCCUUUGGAUUGCAAGUCAACCAGCCUGCAACUCUGCCACCUUAAGAUAGCUUCAGAAAACUGCAGGCUCCUGCUGGCCAGACUAGCCCUGACGCCUCCUCCAUCCUCUAUCUCCAACUUCCAUCUCCAUCCUUCACCCUGCGUCCUCUUGACGAUCCCAGAGCACAGAGCAGGAGCACACCCCGCUGAUGACAACUGGUUUUCCUGCAGAACUAUCAGUGGUUUGGAUGAUGAGUUUCCUCCUGAAAGGACCUGGUCCUUUUGGUGCCAGGACCAGGUGACACCGAUGGCUCUGCAGAUUUCUCCACCAUUUUCCUCCUUGUAGAUCCCAGCUGGCUCUGUGGAGGAGGUAUGCAUCAGCCAGAGAGCACAAACUGCCAUGAAGCUGAGCCUCUAUGGACGGCAGUGUCCUCAGAGCUUCAAGCUGUAAUUUAAGAACCAGUCGCAAGAGCUCUGUAGACCUUAAAUAUGAUCCUACAGAGCCAUAAUUAAGCAUCUGACUGAUCAGAAAAUAUUUAAUGCUUGCAACAGGUUUUCCUUCUCAGCCCCAUUAGAUAAAGCGAUACUGGUGGGAAAGUCCAGGGAGGCCGUUACCAGAGUUCAGCAGAAGGGCUAACGAGUCAGCAAACAAUGUUCCUUUUAGGCCCCGGGCUUCGGGAGUCCCAAAUUCCCAACAUUAGAACUAACACAUUUUAAAUUACUUCCCAAGUCCCAGCACUGGACUAUGGUUACGUUUUGGAGAGCAGCCAAGAGGUAGCUUAGGGCUGGUAACGAAUGCGGGCUGUGCUGUCCCAGUGGUGCUGCCCUAUGGGCCAGCCAUGGCCUAGGGUGCUCCAGGGCCAGCAGUGCCAGUGGGAGAGGGAAGGGAUUGUUGAGAUUGUCCCAGUCUGCUCUGCUUGGUGCAGCCUCGUCUUGAGCACUGGAUGAAGGACAUAAAGAGAGGGCAAGAGAUGUGAGGAGCAGCUGAGACCCCUUCAUUUGUUUGGCUCAGAGAAGAGGAGGCUGAGGGGAGGCCUUGUGGUGCCCAGCAGCUCUUCGUGGCCCUGCAGCUCCUCAUGGUGACCCUACAUCUCCUUCAUGGCAGCCCAACAGCUCCUUCAUGGCAGCCCAAAAGCUCCUCAUGGUGUCCCUACAUCUAUUUCAUAGCAGCCCUACAGCUCCUCAUGGAGGAAAGCAAGAGCUGUGUGGCCACAGCCCUACCACGGAUGGCCCUGCCAGCCUUCCCAUGAAGUGCCUACCCCCCCAGCCUUCCUAACGAAGGGGAAGCCCAUCCUGCCUCAUUAGGGGACUGGGAACAGCAGCAUUGUUUCCUGCAGGAUGGCUCCAACACACUGCUGGCUUGUGCUGGGGAUGCUGGAGCAGCGUGUGUUAAAUCAGGAAUCAAAUGUCUGACCAACAGAAUGAGAGGUGCCCCUGUCCCACCAGCU